UUGCUUGGUUUGGCAGCACAUAUACCAAAACUAGAAUGGUAUAGAGAAAAUUAGCAUGGCCUGUCUGCAAGGAUGACAAAAAAAAUAUAUGAGACUGUGAAACUAUUU